GCAAAAUGAGUGACGGCACGAGCGGUAAAAAGUACGAGGCGAGCGUGAUGCGGUUUGACGGGGUGUGAAGGGCCCGCAGGAGGGUAUGUAAUUCGGACGUGAAAGCUCCUAGCUCAACUGGGGGAUGGCGUUCGAAACUGCAUAGCUUGAGGGUGGAAGAGGAGAGCGGAACUCCCGGUGUAGUGGUGGAAUGCGUAGAUAUCGGGAAGAACACCAGUGGCGAAGGCGGCUCUCUGGUCCAAAUCUGACGCUCAUGUGCGAAAGCGUGGGUAGCGAACGGGAUUAGAUACCCGUGUAGUC
rnacentral:rRNA from 1 species